UCCCGGAUAGCGCAGUGGUUUAACGCACCUGCCUAGUAAGCAGGAGGUCCCGGGUUCAAACCUCUGUCCGGUAU